CUUAUUUCCAAACUUUGAAGAACUCCGUGAACUCCGAUUUCUCCGAUCAAAUCUUCUUCCUCUCUAUAAACGGACGAAGAAGGCGGCCAUUAAUAUAUGUGAAGGUUGCGUGCCUCAUCAUUUCUUUCGCAGGCAGGUGGAGUGUAUACCUCUACUUWGUUCAAGCGAGUUUCUUUAACGAUGAUGAUUUGAAUUUUACAUGUCAUUUUUAGCAUGAAAAGUGACAGUGUUGUUAUAGAAGCUCUGUUAGCAAUGGGCAUCAAGUACCUACAUGAGUAGCAGGAUUUGGUACAUUUAUAUACAAGCCAUAUAAUAUUUCAUACCAAGAGACUAUGUUUGAAAUACAAAAUGGAACAUAGGUGCUUUCUAGAGUUGCGGCACCCUAAUCUUGUGUCUUUGCCUGGCUAUUGUAAUCAUGGAAAAGAGAGAUGCCUGUUUAUGAAUAUAUGCCCAAUGGAACACUUGAAGAUUAUCUCCAUAAACUUGGUACCCCUCUUUCUUGGCUUCAGCAACUCAACAUCUGCAUAGCUGCUGGUCAUGGGUUACACUACCUUUACAUUGGUACAGGGAUUCGGGUUGGGGUUAUACAUCGUGAUGUCAAGAGCUUAGAUAUUAAUAUUAUAUAAUAUAGAAGUUGGGCAACAACAUAUAGGACUUGGGGUUUGUUCAAAAUAGGCCCAACGAAUAAACUAUCAAUUUGUAUCGACACACUUGUUAAAGGUACUUUUGGGUACCCAGAUCUUGAUUAUUAUGCAACUGGAAAGCAGAAAAUCUGAUGUGUAUGCCACUCUGCCUAACACUGAACACAUUAGACUUACUUGUCAGCUUUCGAGUUGUGUAAUAGUUGGGAUCCAGAUACCCAAAAGUACCUUUAUCAUUGUCUUGAUAUAAGUGGAUGGCUGAUUAGUUGGCCUUGACAAMCCAAAGUCCGGAAGUUUUUGCUGCCCAACUUUCAUUUAACAAAAUAUUUGAGCUYUUGAYAUCACGAUGUAUAACCCCAAUCAAAAUUUGCGGUCAUUUUCUUGGAAGUGCUUUGUUGGAAGCAUGUAGUGGAUACACUCUUGAUGUGGACUGCUGGAGUUUAGCAAGAUAGGCUUAAGAAUUUAUUGAAGAAGACAAUCUAAAGCAUAUCAUUGGUUCUGGUAUAAGGGGUCAAAUAUCCCCAAAAUGUUUGAAGCAGUUUGUUCUAAUUGCAGAGAGAUGUUUGCAUGGCAAUCCAAAACAGCUCUACCAUACACAGGUUGUGGCCUGUACACUGACCUUACCUGAGAAAUUCAGUAAUUCAUUGCAAAAUGCAGACAUGAUAAUAUUUGGUAGAAUGGCUGGUAUGAUUCCCUUUCCCUUCAAAGGAGAAAACUCUGGUAUUUUAAGCUCCUCUAGAAUUGCAUGUAAUAUUCUGUGAAUUUGUGUGUGAUCAUCUUCACAUAUAAUAGCAGAAUUUCAAUGAAGACAUUGAAAUGCCAUCUCUCAGCAUUAAAAAGAACAAGGGUACUACUAGUUAUUUAGUUGCAUCAAUCAGAUGAUAGAUUUCUUUCCAUUUC